GAGUUUGAUCCUGGCUCAGAUUGAACGCUGGCGGCAGGCCUAACACAUGCAAGUCGAGCGGAUGACGGGAGCUUGCUCCUUGAUUCAGCGGCGGACGGGUGAGUAAUGCCUAGGAAUCUGCCUGGUAGUGGGGGACAACGUUUCGAAAGGAACGCUAAUACCGCAUACGUCCUACGGGAGAAAGCAGGGGACCUUCGGGCCUUGCGCUAUCAGAUGAGCCUAGGUCGGAUUAGCUAGUUGGUGGGGUAAUGGCUCACCAAGGCGACGAUCCGUAACUGGUCUGAGAGGAUGAUCAGUCACACUGGAACUGAGACACGGUCCAGACUCCUACGGGAGGCAGCAGUGGGGAAUAUUGGACAAUGGGCGAAAGCCUGAUCCAGCCAUGCCGCGUGUGUGAGGAAGGUCUUCGGAUUGUAAAGCACUUUAAGUUGGGAGGAAGGGCAGUAAGUUAAUACCUUGCUGUUUUGACGUUACCGACAGAAUAAGCACCGGCUAACUCUGUGCCAGCCGCCG
rnacentral:rRNA from 1 species